rnacentral:lncRNA from 1 species
GAAAGCAUUGGAAGAGAGGAUAACUGUAGUCAAGGAAAGUCAAAGAGUGCUAUAAAUGAGGUAGGAAUUCAAGAGGCCAGAUGAAGAGCAGUCAGCAGGGCUGGCACGGACAGUCUGAAAAUCCUUCUCUUGAGUAACCAAACACACAGCUAUCGUUUAUUUGAGCAACAGUGAAGUCUAUGCUGCAAGUGAACCUGGGUAACCCGAGGCACAGGGCCAAACAUCUGGUAACAAUAAAAUCAACACAACGGUAGAAGAAGAUCAAGAAUCCUGUAACCAUAAGGUAAUGUGGAGUAUAUUCGGGUAGCUAUGACGGAUACAUACUAGAGGGUUUUCCUCUAUGAUAGCUGUGUUCUCUGAAUUGACAGAAAUAGGUCAAAGAUCCCCGAUAGCAUGCUUUCAAUACAUUAGGCCAAGAGAAAACAGCACUUGUCCUUUGCAUCUGGUCUAGAUUUUAGCUUGGAUUUAUCCAUUCUUCUGAGAUCCUUAGAAUCACAAAACCCUAAAAACUGCAAAUAAAAUAUAUCCUGAAGUUCACCAAUUUAAAAGAGAAGGGCAGACAGCCUUUAUACAACACAUCUUCUUGUGUUCAUCAGAUUUUGUUUUCACAGUCGGGGUCCUGGGUAGAUGUGGAAGUCUACGAAAGCUUAUUUUCCCCCAGAUGUCAAUUCUAAAUGUCAUUUUCCUUCCUUUUGGCACACUAUUUUUUUUUUCUAGAACCUCGGGCAGUCUUCAGUACUGAUGCGUGCCAAGAUAUGUUUGGGCAAGAGAAUAUGGAUGGAAUGUUCAUCUCUUCACCAGAGGGUGACAUGGAAUGCCAGUGAGUCAGGUUUUGUCAGAAGACAGUAUCGAGUUGCAGAGAAGAAGAUUAUCUGCAGAGUAUCUUGUACCUUGAAGUUACUUAGAGGUGAGUCUAAAUUCUGUAUGGUGACACAUGAACCAUAAACAAGAGAUCAUAUUCAGAAUAGUUCCUUUGGGAGACUGAAGGUUUAUUCUAAUAAUACUGUGAUUGCUCAACAUCUUUUAGGAACUUCCUUUAAAAACUUUGAAAAAUAAUUCUCUUUGUAGGUGAAUAUUAUUUUGAAAACAGGCAAAAGUUAUCCACACUUUUGUGUCGUGAAUGAAUAUGUGUUAUUAACAAAGUGAUGCAGUGUUUUGAAAAGAAAAUAAGGCAUACUAAUGAAAUUACUGGUAUUUUGGAGUUGCUUAAAAUCUGACUGAAAUCAGUGCCAUUAGAAGCCACAAAAAUAUCUUUAUCACAACAAUACUGUGAAAAUAUGUAAAAUGCUUUCUAGAAGGACUAAUUUGGGAAACAACACUCAUGUAAAUGCAUAAGGUCUGGCCUGCUUGUUCAAGAAAAGUCUUGAAACUUUAAAAUAUGAAUCCCAUAGGGGCGCCUGGGUGGCUCAGUCGGUUGAACAUCCAACUUUGGUUCAGGUCAUGAUCUCAAGGUUCGUUAGUUCGAACCCCGCAUCAGGCUCUGAUGCUUGCUGCUGUCCGCGCAGAGCCGCUUCGGACCCCCUGUCUCCCUCUCUCUGCCCUUCCCCAACUUUAACUGUCUCUCAAAAAUAAAUAAAAUAUUUAAAAACA